UCUCUCUCUCUGAGGCGGAGUUUCUCCCCUCUGCCCACCUCUGCACUUGGCAGUCGCAGCUCGCAUGUGUUAGGAGGAGGACACAUUGCACUCCUCAGAGAGGUUGAGAAGAAUUUGAACUCUCAUUCUUAUGCUUUUUUACUCUAUUUUCCCUUAUUGUUGGAUCAGACUAGGCCAUGGUGAAGACCGGAUUGAAACAUUUGGGGGAUACUGACUGGAAUGGAGUUAGCUUGUUGUGCAAGAAAUUGGCUACAACUUCAGCUCUGAAGCUCGCAUUGACUGGUACUGAAGACAAAGUACCACCAGACAAGAAGAGGAGCUACAGACACCCUGCAGAUGGAAACAAGGGUGGGUGGUUGGAAGGCUGCAUAAAGGCUGCUGGAUGACUGAACUCAGAGACCCGGCGCAGCUCAUCAUCAUUGCCACGGGCUCUCGUCUUCCUCCUCUCCUCCCGUGGCCCCGUACCUACCCAUCCAGGGGUCCAGCGGAGCCCAGGCGGGGAGCUGGUGAGUGGGCCGGGGAAGAAUGGAGAAGCUCCCUGAAGGCUGAAGCACCUCUGGAGCUAGCGGCAUGCAGGAGAAAUCAAUAUGAAACACAAGAACGCUGCAACAGCUCUGAGUGGGGCUUCCUGUGUGAGUCUGUGGCCUCGGGGCCCCACAGACCUCCAAAGGACGGGCCCUAUGUGGCCCCUCUCAGCUGCAGAGACCGGACCUCAGUCCCGAUCUCCGCUGGCUGUGUGUGGUUCUGCUGAGGGGGAUUGCUCCCCAAAUAAUACCCAGAAUGCUGAGAGACCGCCGAGAGGAAUAUUUUUCCUUUUCUCUUGAUUUUUCCUUCCUUCAUAAGAUUGACAUCUCCCCCACCUUCUGCCUCCGGCUGCUUAAAAACCAGUUUGGGAGUUCUGCUUUGACUCACUCUCCAUCCUCAACUCGCCCGCUGUUUAUUCCCCGACCAGUUUUUAGAUUUGACAAAGAGACAGUACCAUCUUUAUUUUCUCCUCGACUUCUCCUGGCUUACUGUUACCAUGGUGAGCUGUAGACAUGUGUCUGUUAACACCACAAACUCUGGCACAUGAAGUUUGAGCAUCUUUUUUUACUCCAUGAUGUCUGUUAUUCAAUGCCAGACUUUGAAAAAAAGUGAGUGAGCAGCAGAGAGGGAAGAAGAUCAGAGAGCAGAGAGACCCCCAACACACCCUUUAGUGGAGCUGGU